AUUGAACGCUGGCGGCAGGCCUAACACAUGCAAGUCGAGCGGAGCGGCGGACGGGGGCGUAAUGCCUAUGAAUCUGCCUGGUAGUGGUGGAUAACGUUCGGUAACGGGCGCUAAUACCACAUACUAUCAGAUGAGCCUAGGGCGGAUUAGCUAGUUGGUGGGGUAAAGGUCAACCAAGACGACGACCCGUAACUGGUCUGAGAGGAUGAUCAGUCACACUGGAACUGAGACACGGGCCAGACUCCUACGGGAGGCAGCAGUGGGGAAUAUUGGACAAUGGGCGAAAGCCUGAUGCAGCCAUGCCGCGUGUGUGAAGAAGGUCUUCGGGUUGUAAAGCACUUUCAGUUGGGAGGCGUUACCAGCAGAAGAAGCACCGGCUAACUCCGUGCCAGCAGCCGCGGUAAUUC
rnacentral:rRNA from 1 species